CGCUACCACAAAACCUUGCUCUUGGGUGACGAGUGGCGGACGGUUUAAAAUGUCUGGGAAACUGCCCGAUGGAGGGGGAUCACUACUGGAAACGGUAUCUA
rnacentral:rRNA from 1 species